UUCCUCCUUUCUUUCCCACCCCCACACCAACCCAUCCAUCUCCUCGUUGCCUCCUUUCCAGAUCUCCUCGCUGCCCGACGGAGAGAGCUGCCUCCUCCCUUCCAGAUCGCCGCUGGCACCUCCCUCCGGCGGAGCUGGCCGCCGUCCAUGGCCUCCCGCAUGCCCCUCCCCUUCCCCCACCCAAACCCUCGAUCUCCCACCGCCCCCUCCCGAUUUCCCACUCAGAUCCCCCCAUCUCCUCGCGCCACCGC
rnacentral:rRNA from 1 species